UGACCUCGGAUUAGGUAGGGAUACCCGCUGA
rnacentral:rRNA from 1 species